AUGAUGAUUGAUAUAGCAAAGGAGUAUCACAGAGUGUUUGACUCUUUGGCCAUUCAAGAUAAACAAUAUACCUUCAAGCCAUCUUUUGAGGAUUGGGAAAAUUCCAAAGAUGUUUGUAGGCUACUGAAGGUAUUUUAUGAAGCCACUAAUGUGAUAUUCGGCACAAAAUAUCCAACUGCUAAUUUGUAUUUCCAUGAAAUGUGGAAAGUGAAGCUGACAUUAGAGCAACAACAUUAUGAAGAGGAUUCUGAGAUGGGUACAAUGGUCAAAUAUAUGAAGAGAAAAGUCAGAAGGUAUUGGAAGAUGACAUGGUUGAGCCUUUGUAUUCCAGUGAUUUUGGACCCACAAUUCAUGCUGAAAUAUAUUGAGUUCCGAUUUGGCCUAGAGUUUGGGAACGAAGUUGCAGCAAUGAUUGCUAAAAUAAAAAAUGUGUUCCAAGGGUUGUUCAAGGAAUACCUCCAAUUGAAUGACAAUGACUUAGAUCCCAUGUCACAAGGAGGUGAUGAUGACAUGGCUGUAAGUGGUAAAGAUCAUAUUGAUGAUUGGGGCCAACAUGUCACCCUCACUGCUCGAUCAACAAAUUUGGAUUCUACGGAACUUGAUUCAUACUUGUCAAAGGUACCCAUCCGUCGAAGUGAUCAAUUCAUUAUCCUUGCAUGGUGGCAGACAAACUCAGGUGAAUACCCAACACUGAGUCACAUGGCAGCAUAUAUCUUGGCGGUUCCUGCCUCUGCAGUGGCAUCCGAGUCCGCCUUCAGCAUAGGGAAGAGAGUCCUAUCAGAUUUUCAAAGUCGAAUGACCGCAACGACACUUGAAACUCUUGUUUGCUAA
rnacentral:rRNA from 1 species